rnacentral:tRNA from 4 species
GCGUCCGUAGCUCAGCUGGAUAGAGUACCUGGCUACGAACCAGGCGGUCAGAGGUUCGAA